rnacentral:rRNA from 1 species
AAGCGUCGACGGGUAGCCGGCCUGAGAGGGUGACCGGCCACACUGGGACUGAGACACGGCCCAGACUCCUACGGGAGGCAGCAGUGGGGAAUAUUGCACAAUGGGCGCAAGCCUGAUGCAGCAACGCCGCGUGAGGGACGACGGCCUUCGGGUUGUAAACCUCUUUUAGCAGGGAAGAAGCGAAAGUGACGGUACCUGCAGAAAAAGCGCCGGCUAACUACGUGCCAGCAGCCGCGGUAAUACGUAGGGCGCAAGCGUUAUCCGGAAUUAUUGGGCGUAAAGAGCUCGUAGGCGGUUUGUCACGUCUGCUGUGAAAUCCCGAGGCUCAACCUCGGGCCUGCAGUGGGUACGGGCAGACUAGAGUGCGGUAGGGGAGAUUGGAAUUCCUGGUGUAGCGGUGGAAUGCGCAGAUAUCAGGAGGAACACCGAUGGCGAAGGCAGAUCUCUGGGCCGUAACUGACGCUGAGGAGCGAAAGGGUGGGGAGCAAACAGGCUUAGAUACCCUGGUAGUCCACCCCGUAAACGUUGGGAACUAGUUGUGGGGACCAUUCCACGGUCUCCGUGACGCAGCUAACGCAUUAAGUUCCCCGCCUGGGGAGUACGGA